UACGGAGGGUGCGAGCGUUGUCCGGAAUCACUGGGCGUAAAGGGCGCGUAGGCGGCCUGAUAAGUAGGGGGUGAAAUCCUGCGGCUUAACCGCAGGGCUGCCUUCUAAACUGUCAGGCUCGAGCACAGUAGAGGCAGGUGGAAUUCCCGGUGUAGCGGUGGAAUGCGUAGAGAUCGGGAAGAACAUCAGUGGCGAAGGCGGCCUGCUGGGCUGUUGCUGACGCUGAGGCGCGACAGCGUGGGGGAAGCAA
rnacentral:rRNA from 1 species